UUGCAGGCAGUUCAGUGUUUCAGAUAUUUUCAGUGUUAUGGAAAGUAUUAGUAUGUGUGCUGGAAUGCAAGUGCUGACGAUAUAGUUGGUUGAUUUGGAAAUGGCAAGUCCCUCUCAGCAGGAUCAGUUAAGUCUUCUGCCAAGUAUAAGUGAUCUGCAAGGAUAAUUAUGCAGGUAGCCCUUCUUUCAGGAUGGAAGGCUCGAGUUAGUGGAAGUUGAGUAGUCAGAUGGGAGAUAAGCAGGCUGGUUACAGCUGUUGGAUUAAUGUCUAAGUCCAUAACUAUAAUUGGUAAGAUUUGACCCGACCCAACAUGGUCCAUUUGGGUUGCAUACCAUCAUGCACUUGGAUAGACUAUAAUGAGAGAAAUAAGACACUUAUGGUUAUUAAUAUAUUAUAAGUUCUAGUAUAUUAAUAAUAAGAAUAAUAAGAUUAUUUAAUUAGUAUUGAUCAAGAAUUAAUCUAGGAUUAAUUAAGUGACCAAAAGAAGACUAAUUAAAUAUAUGGGUUGAUUGUGUAAAUCAUCCAUACUUGUAUAGUGGGCUAAUGCUCCAUGGAUAAUCAAGUUGGGUUAAAACCCAUAGGAUGGUCCAUGGAUGCUCCAUGGUGUAUUUGUACCCAUGGAUCAUGGAAAUGAAAGGCCAUGUCAAUUAGGGUUUACAUGGUGUAACCCUAACUAUAUAAGCAUCUUAUUCUUGACCAAAUCGGCCACUAGUGUGUGAAGUGAAAGGGCUAGCCGAUUUCAUGAGUUGUAGAAUUCUCUCAAGUUAUUCUAAGUGUUUUGGUGAUUGUGAUUCCAUUUGAGGCUUCCACACUAUUGGGGCUAGGCACUCAAGCUUCAUGAAGACUUUCUACAUCAAAGAGGUAUGUAUUCUAUCUUGUUACACUCAUUGUUUUGUAUGCUAGAUUAGGAUAAUACCUUGGAAGUUCUUAUUUGCAUGUAUAAUAGAGAAAACAUAGAUCCAAGGUAUUUAGGGUUGCAUGUACACUUAGGAGUGUUAGAAUGCUCAAAACCCAACAGUGGUAUCAGAGCCUAGGCUUGUUUUCUUGUUAUACCUGCAAUAGAAGCUGAAAAAACGAAUCUGGUGCUGUCUGGCCAUCAGACUCGGCGAGUCCAUCAGGAGACUCGGCGAGUCCAUGCCUAAAAAGUGAUGAAUUCGAUCCAACUCGCCGAGUUGGUUCAUGCACUCGACGAGUUGGACCCCCAGACAGCAUAUUUUCGAGUUUUUUGGCUAGAAAUGGACUAGGAACAUUACCCUAAGUUGUUUUUGAACUUAUAAACUUGUUUUUGAUGUGGUAAUGUUCAUGCUAAUCCAUUUUCAAAGAUAAUUGUCAAUAGAUUCAUGUUUUGUAUUAGUUUAAGGUUUAGACUAAUUACAUGAAAAAGUUUGAUUUGAAUUAUCUUGUUCUUAUGAGUUGCUUAGAUUAAUAGAAAUGUUGAGUGAAAUAGUUGUUUUCAAUCCAUUUUAAUCUAAGAGUUGAGUAUAAAAUGUGUUUGUGUAACUUGUCCUCAAGUUACAUGAAGAGUCACAUUAAAGACUCAUAAAACUCAUAAAAGUUGGCAAUGGUUACAAAAUGAAGAGUCUUGUGUCAUUGAAUAAUUUUUUUUGACUCCAUAACUUGUCCUCAAGUUAUGGAAGUUCAAGAGUCACUUCAUUAAAGAAAAAUAUGUAACCAUAAUUAAAUCCAUAAGUUAUAAAAUAAAGAAAAAGUUAGUUCUUUUAUUAGUUUAAAGUCUUCCAUAACUUGUCCUCAAGUUAUGGAACUUGAAGAGUUUUUGGAUUAAAACUACUUUAAACACAUAAGUUAUGGAAUUAAUUAGUUUUGAAUAGUUUCAAAACUUGCCCUCAAGUUUUGGAAUUUGAAAAGUUUUCAAGUAUGAAUACUUUAAUUCCAAGUUAGCCCUUAGAAUUUUAAAAGUUAAAAUUCAACCCUUAUACUUUAUAAUAUUAUAAGUUAAUAAUAUAUAUAUGUAUAAGAGUAAAGUCAGUCUUACCGCUAGUACGCCUCAUUCACGAAGCCGGUCUAUAAGGUGGGUAUAAGGUUGUUGCCUAUAAAAUGGCAACUUAAUGGGUGUCCACUCUCACCCACCGCUUGCUUGACUGGUGGAGGGUCGUUAGCCGAACGGGUUUGACAGGACUAGAAUUCUCCCUUCAUUAAAAGUAUUAAUGAUAAUACUAAGUAACUAAACUCUUAAUAAUACCCAAUCUUAGUUACUUAGGAAAAAUGUGAAUAAGGUGCUAAUCCAUGAAAUUACACUUUACACUUUGUCUAAGUCGUUAGUGGAGCGUGUGUGGUUAACCGGCACACUAACUUGGACUUAACAAGGUAGGUAAAGGGUGACUUAAUAUUUAUCAUAGUAUCGAUGGAGCGUGUGUGGUUAACCGGCACAUCGAUUGAGGGGUAAUUUAUUAAGGGUACCAAGUGAUUUGCAUGGUUACUUCACACCUUGUUUUGUGAUCCUCGGCAUCCCAGUCACAAAACCUGAAGGGCACACUCGAGAUUGAAACAUGCCUUUGAAAAGUUCAAUGAAUCUCAAAGAUCUAGGAGUUUCAAAACCAAUUAAAACCUAAUAAUACAUUUCGUUUAUCUUGGUGGAAAUUGGUGAAUCGUCAUUCACCUACCUUCAAAUAUUUUAUAGCUUGGAUUACGGCAUACCUCUUCUAAGUUAUAAAAUAGUUUGUUGGGUCCUAGCCUUAAUAUUUCAUAUUGGGUGUCAUAUUAAGGACUUUAAAUCAACUAUCUUGAAUAUCUCCCAAAAGAUGUCUGGUUUAGACACCUAUGAUCUUCCCAAAUCUCUUGAAACAAGGUUUCCUAAUGAAGAUGAUGUCCCAUGGAUAUCAUACUUCUUCACCUCUUCAAAUUAUUCUCCCUAACCCACAAGUUCUUGAAAAGUUUAAGGUCACUCAGGCCCUAUUAGCAAGGCAAGGUCUAGGUGUGGUCACAUCUUGGAGAUGUAGUCACAUAUUGACAAGCCGGGAGAGUUGGGUGUCAAAGUCUUGAGAAAGUUGGUGGUUCAACCACUUUCUAAGUCACAUAGUGAGUUCCUUUGGGACACCUAUGAAACAGACUAUGACAAGACCCUUAAUGAUCUUAUCUAUUUGCUAAGAUCAACUUCCUAAAACUUUAUGGACAUUGACAAUGAUGACAUUGGAUAUCCAGUAAAGCAUUCUCUUCCCAAUGGAAAGGGAUCGGCCAUAGUCAACUCGGUUGACCAAAUGGUAAAGAGAAAAGCUAAGUCUGUGAUAGUCCCGUGUACCAUUAUCAAAGGGUCCAUAUGUUUAUAUUGCCAAAGGAAGGGGCAUUGGUUGCGAAGCUGCCAAAUUUACCUAAGGAUGUUAAAGUCAAUAAGUUUGACUCUACUUCAGGUAAAGUCCACUAUCUAACUCUGUUAAGUUUCUAUUCUGAGAUUCUUGAUACAUGAUGUGACUGGGUCACAUGGUGAUGUUUUAAGAAUCAAAGAAAAGUGAAGAAACUUAAAGAAAGAAUAUGCUGAAUCUGAUGGCGUAGAUGGAUUUCUAUCGCAUAGUUUGAAGAUCGGAUUCUUGAGCUACUUCUUAGGAGUUAUGAGAUAUUGCUUAGGAAUAGAUAACAACAAGUUUUCAUAUGGAUUGUAAGGAUAAGUUUUUCCGCAAAGUUUUAAAAUAAAAGAAAAUUUUUUUGAUUUUAUUUAUUUUAAAAUAUCCUUACAAUGGCUUUUGAGGAAAAAUUGUUGCUUAUAUGAUUCCAUUAAGAGCAAGAGUGGAAAUAUGAAAUUGAUUCUUUCAUUUGUGGUAAUGUCUAGAUUUACCAAAUAAGGAAAGAUUCUCAUCACCCAAGUUUCAAUUGGACCGGAACUUGGAAUCAUGCAAGUUGUAUAGCAUGAUGAAUGAGAACUUUCAAGUUUUGGAAAAUUAAGACUAAUUACUUGUUCACAUGGAUGUGUGAGUCAAGUAAAGGACUAAGGGAUCGAGUACACAUUCUUGUGCACUGAUUAAGUCCACCACAAAAGAUUGAUAAGACUAUUCGUCAUAGUUUACUAAAGCUCAGUAAAUAUGAUUAUACUUACAAGCUUAAGUGUAACUCUGAGACAUUGGAAAAGGUUCCAAUGUAUGGCAGGGCGAAUAAGAAGAAUCAAAUUAGGCAGAAGGAUAAAAGUUUCUCAUAUCUGAAAAGAUGGGAGAGUACUUUAGUAUCAGUUUUGUGAUCAUCUUAAUGAUUAAGAAACCAUAUCAAAAUUAGUUCUCUAAGGAAAUCUUAGUGCAUUCUUAUGACUAAGAAGAGGAACUUGAAUUGUUGAAAUGGUUAAAUCAAGAAGAUGAGUCAUACUUCGUUCCAAUACAAGUCUUAGAGUCAUACUCCAAGAUUGUCAUUUGAGUGACAUGUCUUAAAGAAGGUUUAAAACACUUGUCAAAUGUAAGAGUAAAAGUUUUCUACUCUUGUACAUUUGAAAUUGGUAAGUUGUGAUGUUUUGGAUAAAACAAAGACCAACUUAGGCCAAUUGGGUAAAGUGUUUUUCUUGAUUAGAAUCCGCACUAUCUCUUGGAUGUUUGACAAGGGAGUCUUAUAUGUCAAGAGGACAGUGGGAGUCUUAAAGGUCUUGAAAGUCUCAAGAAAUAAUCAAGAAUAAAACCUGAAGUUCUUCACUAGCACACGACUUGAGGUUUAUAACCUAUCGUGUUGACAUAUCUGUGCCCAUUCCAGUUAAAGUUGGCUUUGCAUAUGAGUUCUUAGAGUUCUCAGUUUGUUGCAUAACAACUUGGAAGCAAUGGCAGGCCCUUGAGCUGCCAGGUGGCAAGAAGUUAAGAUUGAGUUCAAUCCAUAUGGUUUUGGAUUUGUCAUUAUCUUUGUCUUGUGAUUAUGGUUUGACAAAUUCAUAUGGGUAGGAACUCAUACACCAUAUAAAUCUAAGUGUCAUAAGGUUUCUCUCCGAUUCAUGAAAAUGAUGGUGAGGAAACGCUUUCACUAAGUAGAUUUUACGAAGAUAUCAAUUGUGUUAUUUGCAUUUUCAAAAGUCGUUAGUGGAGCGCGUGUGGUUAACCGGCACACUAACAUGGACUUGUGAGAAAUGGCAAAUGCCUAAGCAAUUGAGACCAUGAUUACGGUAUCCCUUUUCAUGGUUCUUGAAAUUGCUUAGACACACAGGUGAGCUAUCUACGGAAAGGGUGUAUGAAUCUAAAUUUCAGACUGUCCAGCUGAUUUCUGAGUACAUGUCAAAGCUAGUGGGAGCAUAAGUGUUAUGCUAAUAAUCAUCAUGUUAGUGGGAGCAUGAUAAUUAUGAUAAGUAUUGCAAGUUAGCAAUGUUAAUUAUAGAAAACAAAAGUUUCAAUUGGGAAAAAGUUGUUUUGCUAUAAUUAAGGGAGAGGAAAUUAUGCUUCAUCUCAAAUCUAUAAGCUUAGAUCGUGAGGUUUUAAUCAUUUAGUCAAGGAUAUAUAUGAAUUUCAUGUUGGAAUGGCUCAACAUAAGGAAAUUCUGUAUAUGGGUCCAUUAUUUGCGUUCUAAAAUUCGAUUAUGAUUACGGCAUCCCUUUUCAUAAUCUGAAUUAUGAGAACUUGGCAAAUUGAAAUGGAAAUAUUAUAGCAAAAGACUGGUUUAGUCUUUAUGUAAGACAUCAUGAAUCGUGUCCCAUAUGCUUCGGAUAUAGGAUCGAUUACAUGUGCUAUAUUCAUCCGUUCUAAAAUUUUCCAAAUGCCUGGGGCAUUAAGAAGGGAAAAGGUUUAGAACUGGAUAUGACUAAAAGGAUUAAACAAUUGUCGAGGACAAUCUAAGGUUUACCAAAGAUUGGUUACUCAAGGACAAUUGGAAGUAUAGUGAUAAUUCUGGAAGGACCAUAUUGACAUAAUCUGUAAGGAGGCAACUCUUGUUCAGAAGUGAUAGUCAAAAUGGAAUCUGGAAAUGUUUCAAAGUUAGAAUUUUCAAUCUGUGUAAGAUUAAGGAAACUUAAUGCAAGAAGGAUAUUUCCAAGGAGUUGAUCUCCUUUGGAAUACUCUGUAAUGAUUGUUGCCAAGUCUUUGUGACUUUGUGCAUAAUCAUUACAAGAGGAUCAAUGCAUAUAAGUUUAGAAUCUAACAGAUUUCAGUAAAUGGCAUGAAUUUGGAAUUCUUGCAUUUGCAGUAAGGAUUUGGGAGUGUGAAAAGAGAAUCAUUGAAGUUAUGUUCAAUUGAUCUAGUUCACAAAGUAAAGAUCAUAGACAAACAUAGUAUGCAUACUUGGUGUGUGGCAUGACUAGUGUUUAAGAAAACAUAGUGUACAUGCUUGGAGCAUGGGACAACUAUUGUUUUAAAUUCAAGAAUAAAGUUGAUAGCUGAAACAGUAUACAAUGAAUAAUGUGUAAUCAUAUGGUGAUAAAUAAAAGGUGUUUUAUUUAUGUUCAAAGGGUUGAUACCAUAUUGGAUUCAAUUAUUAUUGUGUUUCAUUUUGCAUGUUUUGACUUCCCGAAUAAACUGGGUUAUUCUUCCGGAAUGACUAAGUUAUUCAAACCAUCCACAGUCGGUCAUAUGUUGGAAGUAGAUAUGAAUUAAGACUGUCAUGGGUUGGCUUGUAGAGGUCUAAGGUGUUGGACAAAGGGCUACAACACUCAUGAGUGCUCAUAAGUUCUGAGUAUUGGAUUCAACCCGCGCUCAUUGGAAUCACUUCAUGGAUUUUAUCACGAGUGAUCAUGAGACGAUAAUAUCUUAUAUUCUUCAAACCUAGAGAUAUGAGUUGUUACUAUGAGUUGAUAGUACAUUGAUUGCACGAAAACGCAUUUGGUAACUCGGUGCUAUAAAACGUGCCUUUGUGUAUGAUUCAACAAGUAGUAGAACAAGCCAUAUGAGUCGAAGUUUAUCCAUUCCUUUUACCUUCGGGAUAAAAGCGAUAUCUGUGGGCCCCUCGAUGAUUUGAUGAUGACAAAUGGAAGUGCUCGGCCGGGCCAGGACUGAUUUGAUUUGUUCAAUUAGUCAGUCGUCAUAAAUCGGAAAUCGGGAAACAACAAAUGGACAGAGAGAAUGAUUAUAAUCCAUGUCUCAGUCCAUAUGAUAUCUAGAAUGGAGGAAUAUAUGAUCCCUUAUCUAAUGGACAAGUCAUUGACAAAGGUCAGAGUUCAUCUACAAGGUCAGAGUUCGACAGAAGCUUUUGAGAGCUACGAUUGCCAGUUGGUUCCUGAAGUCAUACGCAAUAAUAGUUUUAGACUUAUCCAAGUGGGAGACUGUUGGAUUAAUGUCUAAGUCCAUAACUAUAAUUGGUAAGACUUGACCCGACCCGGCAUGGUCCAUUUGGGUUGCAUACCAUCAUGCACUUGGAUAGACUAUAAUGAGAGAAAUAAGACACUUAUGGUUAUUAAUAUAUUAUAAGUUCUAGUAUAUUAAUAAUAAGAAUAAUAAGAUUAUUUAAUUAGUAUUGAUCAAGAAUUAAUCUAGGAUUAAUUAAGUGAUCAAAAGAAGACUAAUUAAAUAUAUGGGUUGAUUGUGUAAAUCAUCCAUACUUGUAUAGUGGGCUAAUGCUCCAUGGAUAAUCAAGUUGGGCUAAAACCCAUAGGAUGGUCCAUGGAUGCUCCAUGGUGUAUUUGUACCCAUGGAUCCAAGGAAAUGGAAAGCCAUGACAAUUAAGAGUUUACCCUAAUUGUGUAACUAUAUAAGCAUCUUAUUAUUGAGGAAAAAUCGGCCACUAGUGAUAGUGAAGAAAGGGCUAGCCGAUUUUGAAGAGUGUAGAAUUCUCUCAAGUCAUUCCAAGUGUUUUGAUGAUUGUGAUUCCAUUUGAGGUGUCACACUUGGGGCACUAGGCACUCAAGCUUCAUGAAGACUUUCUACAUCAAAGAGGUAUGUAUUCUAUCUUGUUACACUCAUUGUUUUGUAUGCUAGAUUAGGAUAAUACCUUGGAAGUUCUUAUUUGCAUGUAUA
rnacentral:lncRNA from 1 species